rnacentral:rRNA from 1 species
GUUAUAGGGUCAAGUGAAUAAGUGCAUGUGGUGGAUGCCUUGGCGAUCACAGGCGAUGAAGGACGUUGUAGCCUGCGUUAUGCUGCGGGGAGCUGGCAAACAAGCUUUGAUCCGCAGAUUUCCGAAUGGGGAAACCCACUCCGCAAGGAGUAUCCCACGCUGAAUACAUAGGCGUGAGGAGGCGAACCGAGCGAACUGAAACAUCUAAGUAGCUCGAGGAAAAGAAAUCAACCGAGAUUCCGAAAGUAGUGGCGAGCGAAAUUGGAACAGCCUGUACGUGAUAAUCAUGAAGUCAGCAAAACGGCCUGGAAAGGCCGGCCAUAGCAGGUGAUAGCCCUGUAUGCGAAAACUUCGUGAUGGUACUAAGCGUACGAUAAGUAGGGCGGGACACGUGGAAUCCUGUCUGAAGAUGGGGGGACCAUCCUCCAAGGCUAAAUACUCGUGAUCGACCGAUAGUGAACCAGUACCGUGAGGGAAAGGCGAAAAGAACCCCGGGAGGGGAGUGAAAUAGAUCCUGAAACCGCAUGCAUACAAACAGUCGGAGCCUCCUUGAGGGGUGACGGCGUACCUUUUGUAUAAUGGGUCAGCGACUUACGUUUAGUGGCAAGCUUAACCGAAUAGGGGAGGCGCAGGGAAACCGAGUCCGAAUAGGGCGAUCAGUCGCUAGGCGUAGACCCGAAACCAGAUGAUCUAUCCAUGGCCAGGAUGAAGGUAGGGUAACACCUGCUGGAGGUCCGAACCGACUACUGUUGCAAAAGUAGCGGAUGAGCUGUGGAUAGGGGUGAAAGGCUAAACAAAUCUGGAAA